UUAACCUACCAUUUUAUUCCAUUGAAGAGUUUGUAAAUUUAUAAAAAGUUAUAGAAUUGAAUGGUAGGUGAACA